GUCCAUGCCGUAAACGAUGAUUACUCGCUGUUAUGCCGUAGGGUGUAGCGGCCAAGCGAAAGCGUUAAGUAAUCCACCUGGGGAGUACGCCGGCAACGGUGAAACUCAAAGGAAUUGACGGGGUCCGCACAAGCGGUGGAGCAUGUGGUUUAAUUCGAUGAUACGCGAGGAACCUUACCUGGGCUAGAAUGUGAGGGAAUGUUUUGGAGACAGGACAGUCAGCAAUGACCCGAAACAAGGUGCUGCAUGGCCGUCGU
rnacentral:rRNA from 1 species